CCCCCAUCUCCAAGCUUCUGAUAGGAGAUCCUGCAUCCCAGCCUCCAUUGCUGUCUGCCCCCUGAGACCCCAGGGGAGCUGGUCCGCAGAUGGAAUCUCCAUUCCCCAAGUCCCUUUUCCGCCCUGUGAAACCCCUGCCCUCGAGCCACGUGCACGGUCUCCACUCCCCAGGUGACACUGGCGUCCUUCGACGUUCUGGUUAAGGGAAAAUCUGCUUUUGUUGAGGACAUUUAUUAUGGAAGCAUGCUUUUCAGAGGCCUCUUCUGCGUCUAUGAGAUGGUCAUGUGAUCAUCUCAUGUCCAUUUAUGUGGUUCAUCACAUUUAUUGACUUGCAUAAGUUGAAUCAUUCCUGCAUCUCAGAGAUAAAAGCCAACUUGGUCAUGAUGGAUCAUCUUUUUGAUGCACCAAGAGCUAUAUAUUCCCAUCGAAAGACUGCUUUCAAUGUGUCCUGAAGCUGCCUGCUGAUCUGGAUAUAGAACGCUUAUCUACUUUCCCCAUGUUUGCCUGGGUGCCACCAUGCUUCCCAUCAUGAUGAUAAUGGACACAAACCCUGAAACUGUGCAGACAUGAGCGGUUAAAGGAAAUGGAUCAGGGUUCAGAGCCCCUUUCGGUCUCAGAGGACAUCUGGG
rnacentral:lncRNA from 1 species